UUGCGAUGAUGAUGAACUAUCCGCGCUUCCGAGGCUUCGGCUACUGAAGACAAGGAUAUUAUGGUUGAAUUUCUUUAGCUGAGCAA
rnacentral:snoRNA from 1 species